rnacentral:rRNA from 1 species
GAUGAACGCUGGCGGCGUGCCUAAUACAUGCAAGUCGAGCGAACAGAUGAGGAGCUUGCACCUCUGACGUUAGCGGCGGACGGGUGAGUAACACGUGGAUAACCUACCUAUAAGACUGGGAUAACUUCGGGAAACCGGAGCUAAUACCGGAUAAUAUAUUGAACCGCAUGGUUCAAUAGUGAAAGACGGUUUUGCUGUCACUUAUAGAUGGAUCCGCGCCGCAUUAGCUAGUUGGUAAGGUAACGGCUUACCAAGGCAACGAUGCGUAGCCGACCUGAGAGGGUGAUCGGCCACACUGGAACUGAGACACGGUCCAGACUCCUACGGGAGGCAGCAGUAGGGAAUCUUCCGCAAUGGGCGAAAGCCUGACGGAGCAACGCCGCGUGAGUGAUGAAGGUCUUCGGAUCGUAAAACUCUGUUAUUAGGGAAGAACAAAUGUGUAAGUAACUAUGCAUGUCUUGACGGUACCUAAUCAGAAAGCCACGGCUAACUACGUG